GAUCCGGCUGUGUUUACUCUGAAGGGCUGACGCCAGAGAGGACUGAGCCUGUUUACAGAGACUGGGGAGGGAACCGGACUGUGCAGAACUUCCCUUAGACAACAGACGGCUCCGAUGAUGAUCAGCUGUGACCUUUGACCCCUCACCUGCAGACUCACCUGCCCUGUCCACCUGAGAGGGGGGGGCGGGGCCCGAGGAGCUGACGCCAUGGCAACCACCUCCUCCCUGCUUAGCAGAGGUCUGGGUCUGGUUCUGGUGGAGUUCCAGUAUGAGUACCAGGGCCGGGACGGCGCGCUGGUCUCCAUCAAACCCAAC